rnacentral:rRNA from 1 species
CCUACGGGGGGCUGCAGUGGGGAAUAUUGGACAAUGGGGGCAACCCUGAUCCAGCCAUGCCGCGUGUGUGAAGAAGGCCUCGGGUUGUAAAGCACUUUCAGUGAGGAAGAACGCCUGGUGGUUAAUACCCAUCAGGAAAGACAUCACUCACAGAAGAAGCACCGGCUAACUCCGUGCCAGCAGCCGCGGUAAUACGGAGGGUGCGAGCGUUAAUCGGAAUUACUGGGCGUAAAGCGCGCGUAGGUGGCUUGAUAAGCCGGUUGUGAAAGCCCCGGGCUCAACCUGGGAACGGCAUCCGGAACUGUCAAGCUAGAGUGCAGGAGAGGAAGGUAGAAUUCCCGGUGUAGCGGUGAAAUGCGUAGAGAUCGGGAGGAAUACCAGUGGCGAAGGCGGCCUUCUGGACUGCCACUGACACUGAGGUGCGAAAGCGUGGGUAGCAAACAGGAUUAGAUACCCUGGUAGUC